AAAAUGUGGAGCCUGUGAAAAGACCGUCUACCAUGCAGAAGAAAUCCAGUGCAAUGGAAGGAGUUUCCACAAGACGUGUUUCCACUGCAGUCCCCAAAGCCGGCACGCUCAGUUACCACCAGCAACCCUUCCAAAUUCACUGCGAAGUUUGGAGAGUCCGAGAAGUGCCCUCGAUGUGGCAAGUCAGUCUAUGCUGCUGAGAAGGUUAUG
rnacentral:lncRNA from 1 species